rnacentral:rRNA from 1 species
AUAGCAAGAAAGAUUCCACUGCCAACACAAAUCGUUCAGACUCUGAAGCAGUUGAAGUAAUCACUUUUUAGAUCCAACCAUUGCUAGUUUAUCUGGAAACAUACCUCUAAAAAAAACUUUAGCUGGAAACAAAUGGACAGGAAACAUACCCCAAAUGUCCACGGGUGUCAAAGGUCUCUGGCUGGGGCGAGCUACUAUGCAAGUACUCAAAGGCAAUCAGGGAACGAUAUAUCGGUUGAUUGGGAAGAGGUACUACGAGAGAGAGAAGGUGAGGUGCAAGUGCAAUUGACUCAGUCGCGAGAACGCCAGUGGCGUGUCGUUGGAAUGACAAUAAGCACCACGGGAAGUGGUCUUCGCCGACCGGCCAGAAUUAAUUGGUGCGAAAAGUCCGUGGAGGAGGGUGCGGGCGGUCGAUCGGAGGUGGAGACCUACCAUGGUGGUGGUGGCGCCGGUGUGGACGAGGCAGCUCGCGACAUGCAUGGACUAGAGAGUACAGGGCCAAUCUUCCUCGCAUCUUCGUACGUCCACGCCCUCCCUCAGGUCACUAGCGUCGACUCAGUCCC